GUUUCAGGGCGGGGUGCAAUUCCCCACUGGCGGUAUAGUCCGCGACCUGGCCUUUGCGGCCGGCUGAAUGGGUGAGAUUCCCAUACCAACGGUAGAGUCCGGAUGGAAGAAA
rnacentral:ncRNA from 1 species